UGGUAUUUUUUAAAGGUAAAGGUUUUCCUGUCCAAUCAUGUCCGACUCUAGGGAGUGGUGCUUAUCUCUGUUUCUUGGCCGAGGGAGCCAGCAUUGUCUGAAUGCAAUUUUCUGUAGUCAUGUGACCAGUGUGGCUAUAUGCUAAAGGUGCACAGAACUCUGUUACCUUCCUACUGGAGUGGUACCUAUCUAUCUGCAUU